rnacentral:rRNA from 1 species
GAUGAACGCUGGCGGCGUGCUUAACACAUGCAAGUCGAACGGGAAACCUUUUAAUGAAGCUUCGGCAGAUUUGGCUGGUUUCUAGUGGCGGACGGGUGAGUAACGCGUGGGUAACCUGCCUUAUACAGGGGGAUAACAACCAGAAAUGGUUGCUAAUACCGCAUAAGCGCACAGGACCGCAUGGUCCGGUGUGAAAAACUCCGGUGGUAUAAGAUGGACCCGCGUUGGAUUAGCUAGUUGGUGGGGUAACGGCCCACCAAGGCGACGAUCCAUAGCCGGCCUGAGAGGGUGAACGGCCACAUUGGGACUGAGACACGGCCCAGACUCCUACGGGAGGCAGCAGUGGGGAAUAUUGCACAAUGGGGGAAACCCUGAUGCAGCGACGCCGCGUGAAGGAAGAAGUAUCUCGGUAUGUAAACUUCUAUCAGCAGGGAAGAUAGUGACGGUACCUGACUAAGAAGCCCCGGCUAACUACGUGCCAGCAGCCGCGGUAA